rnacentral:rRNA from 2 species
UACGGAGGAUGCGAGCGUUAUCCGGAUUUAUUGGGUUUAAAGGGUGCGUAGGUGGUUUCUUAAGUCAGAGGUGAAAGGCUACGGCUCAACCGUAGUAAGCCUUUGAAACUGGGGAACUUGAGUGCAGGAGAGGAGAGUGGAAUUCCUAGUGUAGCGGUGAAAUGCGUAGAUAUUAGGAGGAACACCAGUUGCGAAGGCGGCUCUCUGGACUGUAACUGACACUGAGGCACGAAAGCGUGGGGAGCAAACAGG